rnacentral:rRNA from 1 species
ACACAUGCAGUCGAGCGGGGUGAGGUGCUUCGGUACUGAUCCUAGCGGCGGACGGGUGAGUAAUGCUUAGGAAUCUGCCAUUUAGUGGGGGACAACAUUCCGAAAGGGAUGCUAAUACCGCAUACGUCCUACGGGAGAAAGCAGGGGAUCUUCGGACCUUGCGCUAAAUGAUGAGCCUAAGUCGGAUUAGCUAGUUGGUGGGGUAAAGGUCUACCAAGGCGACGAUCUGUAGCGGGUCUGAGAGGAUGAUCCGCCACACUGGGACUGAGACACGGCCCAGACUCCUACGGGAGGCAGCAGUGGGGAAUAUUGGACAAUGGGCGGAAGCCUGAUCCAGCCAUGCCGCGUGUGUGAAGAAGGCCUUUUGGUUGUAAAGCACUUUAAGCGAGGAGGAGGCUACCUAGAUUAAUACUCUGGGAUAGUGGACGUUACUCGCAGAAUAAGCACCGGCUAACUCUGUGCCAGCAGCCGCGGUAAUACAGAGGGUGCGAGCGUUAAUCGGAUUUACUGGGCGUAAAGCGUGCGUAGGCGGCUGAUUAAGUCGGAUGUGAAAUCCCUGAGCUUAACUUAGGAAUUGCAUUCGAUACUGGUCAGCUAGAGUAUGGGAGAGGAUGGUAGAAUUCCAGGUGUAGCGGUGAAAUGCGUAGAGAUCUGGAGGAAUACCGAUGGCGAAAGCAGCCAUCUGGCCUAAUACUGACGCUGAGUACGAAAGCAUGGGGAGCAAACAGGAUUAGAUACCCUGGUAGUCCAUGCCGUAACGAUGUCUACUAGCCGUUGGGGCCUUUGAGCUUUAGUGGCGCAGCUAACGCGAUAGUAGACGCUGGGGGAGUACGUCGCA